rnacentral:rRNA from 1 species
GCGCGAAAACUUUACAAUGCGGGAAACCGUGAUAAGGGGACACCGAGUGCCAGCAUCAUAUGCUGGCUGUCCAGGUGUGCAAAAUACACCUGUUAGCAAGGGCCGGGCAAGACCGGUGCCAGCCGCCGCGGUAACACCGGCGGCCCGAGUGGUGAUCGUGAUUAUUGGGUCUAAAGGGUCCGUAGCCGGUUUGGUCAGUCCUCCGGGAAAUCUGACAGCUUAACUGUUAGGCUUUCGGAGGAUACUGCCAGACUUGGAACCGGGAGAGGUAAGAGGUACUACAGGGGUAGGA